GACGAACGCUGGCGGCGUGCUUAACGCAUGCAAGUCGAACGGAAAGGCCCUGCUUUUGUGGGGUGCUCGAGUGGCGAACGGGUGAGUAACACGUGAGUAACCUGCCCUUGACUUUGGGAUAACUUCAGGAAACUGGGGCUAAUACCGGAUAGGAGCUCCUGCUGCAUGGUGGGGGUUGGAAAGUUUCGGCGGUUGGGGAUGGACUCGCGGCUUAUCAGCUUGUUGGUGGGGUAGUGGCUUACCAAGGCUUUGACGGGUAGCCGGCCUGAGAGGGUGACCGGCCACAUGGGGACUGAGAUACGGCCCAGACUCCUACGGGAGGCAGCAGUGGGGAAUAUUGCACAAUGGGCGGAAGCCUGAUGCAGCAACGCCGCGUGCGGGAUGACGGCCUUCGGGUUGUAAACCGCUUUCGCCUGUGGCGAAGCGUGAGUGACGGUAAUGGGUAAAGAAGCACCGGCUAACUACGUG
rnacentral:rRNA from 1 species